CAUUGAUAUGAUGAUAAGAUUUGUUGAAAAAAGUGUUGAUUAAAAAAAAAUCAGACUAUAAUUAUUUGAUCAACG